UACGUAGGGGGCAAGCGUUGUCCGGAAUUAUUGGGCGUAAAGCGCGCGCAGGCGGCUUUGCAAGUUAGAGGUGAAAGCCCGGGGCUCAACUCCGGAAUUGCCUUUAAAACUGCAUCGCUAGAAUUGUGGAGAGGUAAGUGGAAUUCCGAGUGUAGAGGUGAAAUUCGUAGAUAUUACGGAAGAACACCAGUGGCGGAAGGCGACUUACUGGACACAUAUUGACGCUGAGGUGCGAA
rnacentral:rRNA from 1 species